ensembl:snRNA U6 U6 spliceosomal RNA
GUGCUCACUUCAGCAGUACAUAUAUCAAAAUUGAAAUAAUACAGAGAAGAUUAGCAUGGCCCCUGCAUAAGGAAUGACAUGCAAAUUCAUGAAGAAUUUCAUAUUUUG